rnacentral:rRNA from 1 species
UAUAAGAGACAGGUAGGGAAUCUUCCGCAAUGGACGAAAGUCUGACGGAGCAACGCCGCGUGAGUGAUGAAGGCUUUCGGGUCGUAAAACUCUGUUGUUAGGGAAGAACAAGUGCUAGUUGAAUAAGCUGGCACCUUGACGGUACCUAACCAGAAAGCCACGGCUAACUACGUGCCAGCAGCCGCGGUAAUACGUAGGUGGCAAGCGUUAUCCGGAAUUAUUGGGCGUAAAGCGCGCGCAGGUGGUUUCUUAAGUCUGAUGUGAAAGCCCACGGCUCAACCGUGGAGGGUCAUUGGAAACUGGGAGACUUGAGUGCAGAAGAGGAAAGUGGAAUUCCAUGUGUAGCGGUGAAAUGCGUAGAGAUAUGGAGGAACACCAGUGGCGAAGGCGACUUUCUGGUCUGUAACUGACACUGAGGCGCGAAAGCGUGGGGAGCAAACAGGAUUAGAUACCCCGGUAGUCCACGCCGUAAACGAUGAGUGCUAAGUGUUAGAGGGUUUCCGCCCUUUAGUGCUGAAGUUAACGCAUUAAGCACUCCGCCUGGGGAGUACGGCCGCAAGGCUGAAACUCAAAGGAAUUGACGGGGG